AAAUUACCCAAUCCUGACACAGGGAGGUAGUGACAAUAAAUAACAAUGCCGGGCCUUUCUAGGUCUGGCAAUUGGAAUGAGAACGAUUUAAAUCCCCUAUCGAGGAUCAAUUGGAGGGCAAGUCUGGUGCCAGCAGCCGCGGUAAUUCCAGCUCCAAUAGCGUAUAUUAAAGUUGUUGCAGUUAAAAAGCUCGUAGUUGGAUUUCUGGUGGGAGCGAUCGGUCCGACGCUAUGCGUGGGUACUCGUAUUGUCUCCGGCCAUCCUUGGGUGGAGCCUGUCUGGCAUUAAGUUGUUGGGCAGGGGAUGCCCAUCGUUUACUGUGAAAAAAUUAGAGUGUUCAAAGCAGGCUUAUGCCGUUGAAUAUAUUAGCAUGGAAUAAUAAGAUAGGACCUCGGUACUAUUUUGUUGGUUUGUGUGCCAAGGUAAUGAUUAAUAGGGACAGUUGGGGGUAUUCGUAUUCAGUUGUCAGAGGUGAAAUUCUUGGAUUUACGGAAGACGAACUACUGCGAAAGCAUUUACCAAGGAUGUUUUCAUUAGUCAAGAACGAAAGUUAGGGGAUCGAAGAUGAUUAGAUGCCAUCGUAGUCUUAACCAUAAACUAUGCCGUCUAGGGAUUGGCGGUCGCUCUUAU
rnacentral:rRNA from 1 species